rnacentral:rRNA from 1 species
AUGGCCAACGCUCAUGUCAACAUGAACUUCAACGCGUUCCUAGAGAAAACCAAGCUGAAAGAUGAUGGCAGCAACUAUUCGGACUGGGUCCGGAACCUGAGGAUUAUCCUCAUAGCAGCCAAGAAAGCAUAUGUCCUAGAAGGACCGCUAGGUGAAGCACCCAUCCCAGAGAACCAAGACGUUAUGAACGCUUGGCAGUCACGUGCUAAUGAUUACUCCCUCGUUCAGUGUGGCAUGCUUUACAGCUUAGAACCAGGGCUCCAAAAGCAUUUUGAGCAACACGGAGCAUAUGAGAUGUUCGAGGAGCUGAAAAUGGUUUUUCAAGCUCAUGCCCGGGUCGAGAGAUAUGAGGUCUCCGACAAGUUCUAUAGUUGUAAGAUGGAGGAAAACAGUUCUGUCAGUGAGCACAUACUCAAAAUGUCUGGGUUGCACAACCGCCUGUCCCAGCUGGAGAUCAACCUCCCGGACGAGGCGGUCAUUGACAGAAUCCUUCAGUCGCUCCCACCGAGCUACAAGAGCUUUGUGAUGAACUACAAUAUGCAGGGGAUGGUGAAGACCAUUCCUGAAGUAUUUUCAAUGCUGAAGUCAGCUGAGGUUGAAAUCAAGAAAGAACAUCAAGUGUUGAUGGUCAAUAAGACCACUAAGUUCAAGAAGGGCAAGGGUAAGAAGAACUUCAAGAAGGACGGCAAAGAUGUUGCCGCGCCCGGUAAGCCAGUUGCCGGGAAGAAGUCAAAGAAUGGACCCAAACCUGAGACUGAGUGCUUUUAUUGCAAAGGGAAGGGUCACUGA